UACGAAGGGGGCUAGCGUUGCUCGGAAUCACUGGGCGUAAAGCGCACGUAGGCGGGUUCUUAAGUCAGGGGUGAAAUCCUGGAGCUCAACUCCAGAACUGCCUUUGAUACUGGGAAUCUCGAGUCCGGGAGAGGUGAGUGGAACUGCGAGUGUAGAGGUGAAAUUCGUAGAUAUUCGCAAGAACACCAGUGGCGAAGGCGGCUCACUGGCCCGGUACUGACGCUGAGGCACGAAAGCGUGGGGAGCAAACAGG
rnacentral:rRNA from 1 species